ACACUCCUGCGGGAGGCAGCAGUGGGGAAUUUUGGACAAUGGGCGAAAGCCUGAUCCAGCAAUGCCGCGUGUGUGAAGAAGGCCUUCGGGUUGUAAAGCACUUUUGUCCGGAAAGAAAUCCUUGGCUCUAAUACAGUCGGGGGAUGACGGUACCGGAAGAAUAAGCACCGGCUAACUACGUGCCAGCAGCCGCGGUAAUACGUAGGGUGCGAGCGUUAAUCGGAAUUACUGGGCGUAAAGCGUGCGCAGGCGGUUUGCUAAGACCGAUGUGAAAUCCCCGGGCUCAACCUGGGAACUGCAUGGGUGACUGGCAGGCUAGAGUAUGGCAGAGGGGGGUAGAAUUCCACGUGUAGCAGUGAAAUGCGUAGAGAUGUGGAGGAAUACCGAUGGCGAAGGCAGCCCCCUGGGCCAAUACUGACGCUCAUGCACGAAAGCGUGGGGAGCAAACAGGAUUAGAUACCCCUGUAGUCC
rnacentral:rRNA from 1 species